GUGGGGGGAGCAGUGGUUGUGCAAAGCCCCGCGCUGCCACCGCGGCGGGAGGGAUGCGCCAGCUUUCGGGUCAACGUGCCCCCCAGAAUGAGGGGGAAAGUGCUUUGCUCUUUGGGCCUGCCCCGUUCUUCUGUCCACGUUAGAAGAGUUUUUGUUGUUCUGCAGCUGUAUGGGACUGACCUUAAACUUUCCCCGACCUCUUCUCGAGACCCUGGGGCUCGGGUCGUGGUGGCCACCGGGGAUCGAGGAUCGAAAUAUAUGGAAAAGAAGGAACUCCAGUGCCCAGCUUCUUAUCUCUACCCUGCUUUUUAGAAACAGACUAUAAAUUCCCAGGAGGUUUCGGGAGUUCACGUCUGCACUCACCAGCUAACCUUUGGGAAAAACCUUUUGAUUCGGGGUCCUGGUGUACUUAAAGGCUAGUCCCUGAAGGUGCGCGUGAUGGAAAAAAGGGCUUCCACCCCAGUCGCGCCCCAAGAUGCUCUCCAAGUUUUGGUGUCCCGUUUGCUCUGAGCUUAUCCUGGAGAAUUUCAGGUAAGUCUUGGAUAAGUCAUUGGAAAGGGGGAGGGGGGUCAACUUCCCUGGACCCAGCGGGAAGUACCGCUUCCCCACCCCCACCCUCACAUACACACCCCUUCUUCUCUCCCUCCAAAUGGUUAUCACAACUGUGUACAAACUGAUACGGUCCUGAGCCGGCAAAGGGACUGGAAAUGAACGUCGCAGGGUUAUCAGCGCCGAUCUGUCAGCAGCGAGGCGCGCGGCCGCAGGUUGGUCCGCAGGAGCUGUGAUAUAUGUCUCGCUCCCUUUAGCGCACAAAAACAUUUCUUCCGACAGACGUGACCCCAGAAGGCCGCGGAGAGAGAAUUUUAACUAGGGCAGGAGGAGUUGCUUUGUGAGAAUGGAUUUUACAAUUUUUUUCCAGGUAAAUCGAAGUAAAUGAUUUUCUAAAGGUCAGUCUCCCUGAAAGCAUUUGGGCUUGCUCUCUCUCUCUCUCUCUCUCUCUCUCUCUCUCUCCUUUUUUAAUAUUGUGUUUUUCCAGUUGGAAAAGGAAGACAAGACUAAGAGAGUUGAACCGGGGUAGGUAGGGACAUUGUAAAAUAUGGUUUAGAGAGGUCGUGAGACUGAGUCGCUGAAAGUAUGUUUCCUCACUAUAAUAGUGAGCUGUGAACCUGUGUAUUGUAGGGAGAGAAGGGGACAGACCCUGGCAAUGAGGGGGAGGAGGUCGCCGAAUCGAGGAAGUCGAAGAGAGUUCUUUUUUUAAUUUGUUUUCCGUUCUUCGUUGUAAAUUGCUGCUAAACACUUCUGACUUUUAAAUUGCUACUAAGACGGUCCAUAAACCGUUCUCAUCCAAUUUAGUCACUUUUAUUACAUUCCUCUUUGCUUCCCCCAAUCACUGUGGCGGUUCCCAGUUUCAAUGUGGCCACAAUCGGAACCAGUGAAGGUAGAAAACUCUGGAACAGAGAUCGGCGACCGGAGCAGGAUUCAGGGCUUUAAAUUUUAACCUGAGUUCGAUCGAAUGGGACUGGCAGAAGAGCUGACCUGGCGUCCGCCUGCCAGUUAACUCCGACCAGGGUUGAAAGCUACUUUCUUUUGGGUUUUUCGUGAGUUUCCGACCAAGUUUUUAACAGACUCAGUUUUUUCAGAAGCUCAUUUGUAAGCAGUUACAGAAACGUUGUGGACAUUUGAUUUUCUUUGGGGCCAACUGUUGCCAAGUGCUUCUCAGUUUUACUCUUAAAAGCAAAGGUUUUUUUUUUUCUUUUUUCUUAAUUCAUAUCUCAGUGAGGUGAUUUCUAAUGCGGACGAGUUUUUAAAAAUCCUCUGGCUAAGUUAGAUUCCAGGAUGUGAAUGGCCUCCAAGCCUGAGCCCUGAGAAGACCCAGACCCGAACCUGAUUCCUGUUGUGUGUGUUUCUUUAUAUUAGGAAGUAUGAAGGUGUCUGAAUUUCCUUGGACAAUAGCUAAGCCCCCAGGGACGUGCUUUCCCCGCAGCUCCGCAGCAGCUGUACGAGGGUGCACCGGCCCUGACACCGCUGGGACAGACCGUGACCGACCCCACAACGUGCGGUCUCAAAUGGCUCGAGAAGGCGCCCGGGAUUUUACCUUCCAGAUUCCCAAUCUCUUUUUAACAUUGCCUAAAACAAGGGUGGGCAGUUGCAAUUUGCUCCUUUGCACGGUCACAAUUUUUUUUAGACUGGUUUUCCAACUAAAGGAAAUGAGGGGUAGUAAAAUGGUUUUUCUUUUUUUUUUCUUUUCAGUUCGCUUAAAAAUAAAACAAAACCGUUUAACCCGUAGAGUUUAUCCAGACAACAAGCUAAGGCUGCCUGACCCAUCCAGUGUACCAUUUCCCCAAUGCAUUGGAUUUGGCCCUGGGGAAAACACCCCCGGAAGUAGUGGCACAUUUUCAAAGCCACCCCUAAGGGACCCUGGGUCCCGCGCUUCCUUUGAGCACACCAGCUGGUCCAGAAAGGAGGGCAGAAUAGGGAUGCGGAGGGAAAAAGUGCACCCCAAACUAGGGAGGAACCCGAGAGCUGGAGAAGUCCCCCAUAAUUCCCCAGUGAAUAGGCUGCUAGAAGUUCUAUUCUCUUCGCGGUUUUUUCUUUAUCUUUUUCCUUUCCUUUUCCUUCCGUCUGUCUCCUUUUUGAGGAGAUUUACUAAACUGAAACGAAAUUAUUUCUCCCCGGACUAUUUAGACUCGAGGAGGGGCCCCUCUGGAGUGAGCCUUCCGUCCUCAAGCCGCCCUCCUCGCCCUCGGAGAGGUGCUGGCUCCGAAAUGCGACCUGUCCCCAAGGCUGAUUUAUUUGGGCUGCGCCACACUACUAUUUGCGAUUCGAAUCCAGCCGGAAUCCGGCAGCCAAUUGGGCAGGGGGCGGAGGCUUUGCUGCCAAAUGCGAAGGGGUGUUUGGGAACCCAGUGGUGCUCUGUUUCCAGAGGAGGGCGAGACCCGGGUGAGGACCGAGAAACGACACGCCUUUACCCGCCCCCCGAAACCUUAAGCUCAAUAAGUUGUCAGUUCACAAAGCUCCCGGCUGCUCCAGCGAGGUUUCGGAAAGAAAGAAUACAAUUUCUGAUUUAAAACGUAGUUUUAAAUUGAGAGUUUUAAAAAAGAUCUCUGGGGCCUUCUUGCCGUUACCGCAUUUCUUGCUGUCCCUGGGACGCUUUUGACGAAGGACACGGGUCGCCCCGGUGCCCCCACCCCAGCCAGCAUCCUGCCCCAAUAGUCGGGUUGGGGCGGCCUGUCCCCCGGACUCAGCGGCUGCCAAUCCAAUGCAAGCGCGUCCAGAGAGUCCAGGCGGUGUUUGGGGUGGGGGAGGGCGGGUUGUCUCUCUCUCUCUCUCUCUCUCUCUCUCUCUCCCCCCCCUNNNNNNNNNNNNNNNNNNNNNNNNNNNNNNNNNNNNNNNNNNNNNNNNNNNNNNNNNNNNNNNNNNNNNNNNNNNNNNNNNNNNNNNNNNNNNNNNNNNNNNNNNNNNNNNNNNNNNNNNNNNNNNNNNNNNNNNNNNNNNNNNNNNNNNNNNNNNNNNNNNNNNNNNNNNNNNNNNNNNNNNNNNNNNNNNNNNNNNNNNNNNNNNNNNNNNNNNNNNNNNNNNNNNNNNNNNNNNNNNNNNNNNNNNNNNNNNNNNNNNNNNNNNNNNNNNNNNNNNNNNNNNNNNNNNNNNNNNNNNNNNNNNNNNNNNNNNNNGGUAAGUUAGGGCCGCGAUAAGCGGGCGACCAGAGAAGGGUCGCUGUAAAAGCCCCACGCUGGGCGCCUCCUAGCCCUCCCCUCAUCCAUUAACCUUUUUACUUUCUUCUUCCCUCUCUCUUUUAAAGCUUGUUAUCUAGGCCACCCAUGACCGACGAAAGAUCUUCCCUCCCGGCUUCUCCCAAGGCCGCUUUAACCCAAAUAAAUUUGGCUAUUAAGGGCCAAGAUGCCUGACAAAAGAUCGAAAGGUGUCUAUCCGUGAUCGCUUAAAGAAGCGGAGGAAAAGCUUGUGGCUCUCUGAUCCCGAUAAAGACAUUCCACCCGGCGCCGGCCUCCCUUCCCGCGGCCUGGCUGCGCCCUGACACCCUGAGAUCGCGGCCUCACUGGCGCACACCUCCACGGGCCCGGCGGGACCUGUGUCCGCUGCACCGGGAAUGUGGAGGUCCCCAGGCUGCCUGGGUCCCGGGGUCCGUGGAACUCCAGGCCGGACGGAGCUGGGCUCCCAAAACAGACACCCUGCACUUACCAGAAAAACUAAACCGAGCUCACUGGGGCCUGAAUUACCGUCCCGUUUUGAUUAUUUUCUGAUGUUGAAUAAUUCUACCUUCCCACCCCCCACUCCCUGGGGUUUCGCCGAGGGGCGAUGUUAUUCCAUAUCUCUGGUUGUCUGGAGCAGCCCUUCUUUGGAACCCCGGUCAGAACCGAUGGGUGGAACUGGACAGCUGAAUUAGACUGAGGCCAAUGCGGCGGGUGUGGACUCGCAAAUGAAGAGCGUGCAGGUGGGAGGCAGAGGUCCAAUCCCUCGGUCAUCCCCAGGUUGGGUUUGGUUAUGAAAUGCGGUGUUUAUUAUCAUUAUUAAUUACUAUUGGCAUAACUACACAAAGCCUAGGGCUGCCAGCUGGGCCGAGGCCCUGCCCCUGGGGUGAUCCUUUUCACUAAAGCGAGGCAGGACUAUCCACUUUCCUGAUCCAGGACUGAAGAGGGGGCUUGGGGAGUCAGGUGCCACGUUUUGGAGGUCUCCGCGCUGAGCCAUUUCUUCUUCCCUUAAGUAGAUGUAGCAUUCCCCCGGACUCUAGUCUCACCUAAGCCUUUUCUGCCACUUUGCAACAUGGGUAGUUAAGAACCUUCAGGGGUGGCAGGUUAGAGAGACAGCGCUGGCUUCCCUGCAACGGGGAUUCAUUCCUCUUAGAUCUUGUGCUGUCCCCUUCUGUUCUAUGGUGAAGCUGGAGACAGGACUCUGAAUUCCAAAGGCAAUCUAACAUCUUCGGUUUCUGUCUGUCACCUCAUGCUGGGUCCCGGAAGUUAAAGAUGACUCCCUUUUCUCAUUGCCUUCCUCCAAAUAAGGUGAACUCCAAAGCCAUCCACCUCAUCUAAUCCUUCCCCCUCAUCCAGCCACCCCUCCGGGGUGGGGGGUGGGGGGGAUAGGAAAAACCAGAGCAUCAGAAGGAAAGGGAUCAUCUCUGCUCCCCCAAAGGUGAAAGAGACAGAAAUUUCCAACACACUAGACAUGAAAGACCUGAAUUUUGCUGGUAUCACUAGAUGUGCAGAUAAUGCCAAUUCUAGGGUCAGAGUCCAGAUGCCACUGCCCCAGAGCUGUCUCAGCUCAGAGACCUUUCUGUUUCUCUUUUCUUGGUUGGGGGGGAGGGGGUAAUGUUGCUAAGAGGGAGCAGAAAAGGAGGUGAUAAGCUUUUGGAGAUUUGCUAAGUAACUAAUGCUCCUCCUUGAGUCAAUUAAAGGGGAGAGAAAUGCCCCCAAAAUAAAAAAUUACUGCAUUUGCCACCCAGAACUAUGACCUCUGCAUUCAGUUAUGUUGCAAAUAUGCAGAGAAUCAGGACCGAGAGUUGUCUACCCAUAUGCAGCCCUCCAGUUUCCUGCGCUUGCCCAACAACACUACUGAGUAUAUAUACUGCACAAAGAGAACUAGAAGAGUUAGCUCCUAGUUUUGAAGUGUUUACAGUCUAGAAGUUUGGGACUUCUGUGGAGCCGGUUAGGCAAAGUACCACAGACAGUUUCAAAGAUGGAGGGAGGUGUUUGAGCCUUUCCCUAGAAGAGUUUACCCAGGCUCAUAUUGUCUUCUAGGCUUCACAGUGAGUUUGUAAAGAACCGAGUCACUCUGGCUCACAGACUAAGAGAAUUGCCUGGGUUGGAAUCUUGAUUCUGCCACUUUCUAACUGUGUGACCAGGACAAAUUGCCUAACCUCUCUGCGCCUCAGUUUUCUCAUCUGUAACAUGAGGAUGAUAAAAGUAACUCCCUGAUAGGAUUGUUUAAGGGGAUUAAAAGAUUUCUUAAAUGGAAAGUGCCAAGAGUACCUGGCACAUAGUAAGCACUAUGUUAAGUGUGAACUAUUAUUACCAAUAUCUAUAUUGUAAUAGACUCACAUAUACUACACUGAAUUUCAAUUUCUUGUGUGACCCAGCUGUUCCCUGGAGUGAAUUAAUUUCCAAGAAAGAACUUCUUUCAGCACCCAUUCAACUUUGAGUCUUGCCAUUCAUUAGAGGCCUCAGGCUUUUUCUAGGUACCAGCACUGAGGAUUUUAUUUAUUGCAUUAUGGUAGGAAAGUGUGGGCUGAGACAAACAUAGUUCUUUACUUGCUUUUGGUUCCUUUGAAGAAGAAACGUUCCUUGUUGUUCUCCCUUGCAAAUCCCAGCAGCAGACUCCAGCCUCUUCUCCAGGAUGAAGAUAGUAAUCUUGAGGCUCAUCCCUUGAGAAAAGUAUCCUGGUCGGCAACAGCACACUCCCCUCUCCCCCCUUCUUUCUGGCAGCAGAUAGGAGUGAGUUAACAGAUGGGGCCAUGAAGGAGGGGAACCUGUGGACUGGCAUUAGAUAAAAGGGUUGGGGGGACUAAUUAAAUUGACCUGGUCAUCUGACUAGGUCACCUCACACUUUUCACCUUUAAGUUUGGUAUCACUAUUUAUGCAGGACACUUAUUUACAGUCGUAUUUUGUUAAGGAAUAGAAUAUUAAAGAUCACUCAUAAGCUAUGGAACACAUUAUUGAUAGAGGAAAAUCUAGGCCAUUUCAGACAUUUUUCAACUAAUUUCCUUUCUGUUGUUGUCGGGGUUUUUCCCCCAUAUAGCACCCCAUCUUCUAAAACAAGAUCUAAACUUCAAUAAUGAAAACUUAAAGAGAGAAAUCCAUGGGACAAAACAAAGAGCACCGUUCUCUGGAUAAAGUGACAGAGAAAGAGAUUUGUUUUUCAGAAGGCACAGUCUGGAGGGAACAUAAAAGUCUCCUCCUGCCUGCAGGUUUUCAGUGGCGUUUGUGCCCAGAGCCUGUUUUUCUCUUGUCUCUGACAGUUCUGAUCUUCUCUAUAUUUGAUUUACUGAGUGCUGUCAUUUCUCUGCUCUUUACUUUCACAAUCACACAUUCAAACCUGAUAAAGUUCAAGACCCUGAAUAUUUGCAGCUUUCCCAGAUUUACAGUCCUCCUGCCCCCCACCCCGGCCAGCAGCCCUGAAGCUGAUUGAAUCCUCAUGGACAGAAGCCUUGGGGGAUCAGCAGAGAGCCAGCCAGUCCAAGAGGGCUGGGUCCAUGGAGUCGAUAGCCCCCAUGCCAGCUCCGUUAGCCAAAGCAAACUUUGGUGGCUUCCUUCCUGGAGAAAAUGAUGGUCAACAUUCUCUCAUGUUAGUUUCAACUUCCGGUUUGUAACCUGCCCACCGGCAGGUACAGGAACUGUAACUUGCAAAAUUUUAAAUUGGUGAGAAUUGGAUGCAAAAUCAUGGUGAGUUGCAUCAGUGCCUGAUUUGCCUGGAACUACUAAACAGCUUUGUGAUCAAGGGCAAGCCACUUAACCUCUCAGUGCCUCAGUUGCUCCAUCCAUAAAAUGGUAGAAAUAUUACUUUCCACAAACAUUAAUCACAAACUAAUGACUUGAGCCCUCCUCCCUGCGUGUAGCUCUGUCAGGGCCCCAGGAAAGACUGCUAGCAUAUGUCUGAUCUGGCUCUUUGGAUUCUGUCAGGUUAAAUACAAACCUACAAGUUAAUCUAAAUACUAUACCAAUGGGCUAAACAAAAGGAAUGAUUCAUCUCCAAAGACUGAACAGUUAACUCAGGCUCAAGUUUGCAAACCACUGAAAUGCCUGGAUGGAAGAUGCUAUCUAAAUAACCUAUUCUUUGUCUAUAAGUGUAUAAUAAGUAACUUUAAAUCACAGGAUACUGAUGAAAAGCAACUACUGAUGAUGAAUAUUCUUAUUUCCCAUAUGGUUACUGUAUGGGGACUUCACAUUUACUAAAUAAUUAUUUGGACAUGAUUUAAUAUUUUUAAAUGUCUUGAACUCUCAGAAUUUUCUGAGUAAGGUAAACAUUUUAGGCAGCAGUGGUUUAAGUAGGUCUUUAAAAAAAAUCACUGUUUCAAAUCCAUGAACUAAAAAAGGUGUGAUUUUUUUUUCCUUUUAAAAUUCAUAUUCUAAAGAAAGCUAAACUGUCAUACUAUUUAAAGGGAAAAUUGUGCUCACCUGUUAAGGAAGGAAGCAGAAUUGUUCCUUACCUUCUUCAGAAGUUCCCCCCCCCCACCCCAAUCUGUCAGGAUACAUCCAUUAGAAUAUAUUACAGUGUUGCUUUUUCUGGACCAUAAUAAUAUUCACCUCUACAGAGGUGAAUAAAAAUAGCAACUUGACUUAAUGGAUAUCAAAUAACUUUCUGGAUACUCCUAAACCAGAUUACUGCUCUGUUUAUAAUACCACAAAUUAAAGGCACGCAAUUAUCCAACAAAAACAGUGUGAAUAUUACACCAUUUUUAAAGGCUGACUACCACAGAGCUGGUGCCCAGCCCGACUCCAGCCAAAAACCACAGUGUGGAUCCACAAAUAAAGCUGUCAACCUUUGCAUUUCAAAGGCAUCUUUCUGUAAAGAGCUCGGCCUGCUCUGAGCAGCAGUGAAAAAGCCUUGGUGAAUAGGAGAGAGCCUACCCAGUGGCUGAGCUGGUGGGCAGCACAGAAUAUAUCCUCACUUUAGCACUGUGGCCAGACUAAGCACACAUGGAGGUUGAGAGUGUGGAGCUCUGGGUUCAGAUCCCAGCUCUGCAGCUUGCUCUCUGGUUGUGUGUCCUCAAGCAAGUUUUUAAAUAUCUCUACCUCGCAUUUUUCUUAUCUGUAAAAAGGGGGUGGUAGUAACAGUAGCCAUCCCCAAAGAAUUGUGAGUUGGCUAAGUAAGUUGAUUUUUAUAAAGAAGAGUGCCUGGCUCGACAUGCAGAUUUGAACUGUUUGAUAAAUAAGUAAAAACACAAAUUUCUACUUAAGGCCAGCUCUUAAGGGGAAAGGAGAUGAGGAGGAAGAGAGGAGGUAUUAAGCGCUCAAAAAAUUAGGUAGGAAGGCGAUCAAAGGCAUAAAGAAAACUAAAGAUAUGGGAAUAUCCAACGUUUCCUUCUGCAGAUUAUUUAAGAUCAUAAACUCACCCUUUCUGUAUGUAUAGCACCUUCCAAUAUGCUGUCUUCACAAUACCAGAUAUGCCAACAAUUUGAUCUAUGAAUGGAGCCAUAGGCUUUUGCCCAGCAUGGCAUGUUUACAUCAGAGGCAAAAGUGAAAGUUGCAGAGGCAAUGAAUCUCUUCCAGGGUACAAAUGUUUGAAUGUCUAACAAAUGAAAAAGGUUCUUCUUUCUGGCAGAGUCAAUAACCUUUCUCCCUUGAGAAAGCACCGCAUGAUGGCUACAACUUGGCCUGGGGUUUCCGCACCUGUUCUGUCCUCAUGAGCUCCCCAGGUUGUGCCCACAGUCACAACUGACGUGAUUCUAGUGACUGUAAAAUCCAUCCCCAAACCAGCAAAGAAUGCCACAACGUGUCUCAAACACAGUGGCCCUCUUCUUCGUCCACCCACCCCCCUGCACCCCCCAAGAUUAUGGCUGCCCCCUUUCUGCGUAGGCACUUUGUGGUCAUUGUGACAUAUAGUAAAUCACCGGUGGCUUGUCUUUACUGCAUCCCUGUAUUCCUCUAAUCUGUGAGACCUGAGGGGCACAGAUCAUGCCUCAUUCAUUUUUAUCUCCCCAUUAACACACACAGUGUCUAGCACAAGGCACUCACUAAAAGCUUGUUGAAUAAACUGUUGAGUGUGAUAAUAUUGAAAAUUUCAGAUACAACGCUCCAAACUCAAAGCAUAAAGUCCAGCAUUAUCGACACCACAUCAUUUCGCAUUAAAAACAAUGAUAUCUCACUCACUCACUCACUCGCUAUUUAUUUAUUUAGAGCGAGUGAGAGAGAGAGAGAGCAUGAGCAGGGGAGGGACAGAGAGAGAGGAAGAGAGAGAAUCCCAAGCAGGCUCUGCCCUGUCAGCACAGAGCCCCACAUGGGUCUCGAUCCCAUGAGCUUUGAGAUUGUGACCUGAGCCAAAAUCCAGAGUCAGAUGCUUAGCCGACGGAGCCACCCAGGCAUCCCAAAACAAUGAUCUCUUUAUAUGACUUCCUAAAAUUCAAUUUUUUUUCUACUCCUAAAUAGAAUCCUCAACCAGAAUGUUUGAACAGCUACUUUCGCAGGGGAUUUUAUAUUGGCUAUAGCUGAUUAUCAAGUGAUAUGUACACGAGUCAUUUUCUGAUCCAAUAAUCCUAAUACAAACAAAUUGUGACUACAGCUUGUGAGUUUGUGGAAAUUUUCUACUCCUUAAAGAAGCUAUCUUGGGACUAUCAUUGCAGCUGAGGCUUUGACUUAGUUUUUAUGGACUAUUUCACAGUAUUCUACUACCUUCCAACUUUAGAGUACUUUCCACAUUUUUCUUCCUAAUUCAACCACUUAGAAUAUUAUAUUGCCUGUGUUCAGAAUUCUAUAUUAGCCAAUAAUUUAUUAAGCCAAUUGGAAAGAGCACAUUUUUUAUUUUUUAUAAUUUAUUUAUAAAUUAUAUAUAUAUAACAUCCAAGUUAGUUAACAUAUAGUACAAUAAUGAUUCCAGUGAUUCAUCCCCUGUUUAACACCCAGUGCUCAUCCCAACAAAUGUCUUCCUUAAUGACCCUUGCGCAUUUAGUCCAUCCCCCCACCUACAACCCCUCCAGCAAUCUUCAGUUUGUUCUCUGUAAGAGUCUCUUGUGUUUUGUCCCCCUCCUUGUUUUUAUAUUAUUUUUGCUUCCCUUCCCUUAUGUUCAUCUGUUUUGUAUCUUGAAUUUCACAUAUGAUUGAAGUCAUAUGAUAUUUGUCUUUCUCUGACUGACUAAUUUCGCUUAGCAUAAUACCCUUUGGUUCCAUCCACAUAGUUGCAAUUGGUAAGAUUUCAUUCUUUUUGAUUGCCAAGUAAUACUCCAUCAUAUGUAUGUAUGUGUGUGUGUGUGUGUGUGUGUGUGUAUAUAUAUAUAUAUAUACCACAUCUUCUUUAUCCAUUCAUCCACUGAUGGACAUUUGGGCUGGAAAGAGCACUUUAAAAGAAUUAAUGGCACAGGGCAUGUGGGUGGCUCAGUCAGUUAAGCAUGUAACUCUUGAUCUCGACUCAGGUCAAGAUCGCAGGGUCGUGGGAUCCAACCCCAAGUGGAGCUCUACACUGACAGCAUAGAGCCUGCUUGGGAUUCUCUUUCCCUCUCUCUCUGCCUCUCCCCUGCUCAUGCAUGCUCUCUCUCUCUCUCUCUCCCUCAAAAUAAAUAAAUAAACUUAAAGAAUUAAUGGCUGGGGCAUCUGGGUAGUUCAGUCAUUUAAGUUUCUGACUUUGGCUCACAGUUUGUGAGUUGGAGCCCCAUGUUGGGGAGCCUGGAGCCUGCUUCAGAGUCUGUGUCUCCCUCUCUCUCUGCCCCUCCUCCACUCUCUCUCUCUCUCUUUCUCAAAAAUAAACAUUAAAAAAUUUAAAAAAAAAAGAAUUAAUGGCUAAUUGUUCAAAUCAGGAAGAAUUCGUUAAACAUUAAUGUGGCAUCUCCAUUACCAUGAAUGUGAAGCAGAAAUGCAACUUCCUUUUUCAAGUCUGGCCACACACUCCUCUUUUGUUUCCAUUGUGCCAAUAUUAAAGAACAGAUUUCAGGGACAUCUGGGUAGCUCAGUCAGUUAAUCGUCCAACUUCAGCUCAGGUCAUGAUCUCAUGGUUCCUGAGUUUAAGCCCCACGUCGGGCUCGGUGCUGACAGCUCAGAGCCUGGAGCCUGCUUCAGAUUCUGUGUCUCCCUCUCUCUCUGCCCCUCCCCUGCUUGUGCUCUGUCUCUCUCUCUCUCUCUCUCUUUCAAAAAUAAAUAAACAUUGAAAAAUUAAAAAAAAAUAAAGAACGGAUUUCAGUCUCAAGAGCAAUGCCUUUUGCCAUCAGUUAUAACAUAAAAGAACAGAUUUAUGACUGGCACACACUAAGCUUUUGCUUAGAAAUGCAAGCCUGUUUGGAUCUCUCAGGUUUCCAUAAAGCUGACAAAAUCAAAAAAUGAGUUUGCUGUGGGAAAUAAGGUAUUCUGUGCAUAAAUAUUUAAAGGCAAGAUGUGAGCAAUAUCCUAGAAUUUCAAAAAUGGUUAAAAUAAUGAUGGCAAAUCUUCAACUGCUGUGAAAACAAACAAGAUACAGCUUGCUGACCAGGAAAUGCACACUCCUCAAGUGCCAUACUAUUCAAGAAUGCUGCCCUAUUACAGGGUUUCACUUUUACUCACCUAAAAUGAACUGGUAACAAAGAAUCAUAGAAUGAUAAAGCUAGAAGAUACCUUAAACUUCCUCUGAUGUGACAUCCUGGUGAGAAACCUGAGAUCCAGAGGGUCCCCAAAAGUUCAUUUGUAAGUUGCUUAUUUGGAAGUUGGAGCAGAUAUUCCCAUAGAAAUAACAUGAUAACUAAUGGUUAGAACCUGUCUUUCCCCCUCUUUUUAUACACUGUAUACCUGAACAGUAUUACCUUCUAGUGUUGUUCACUGCAUGUGUUUUGAAUCUACAUUGUAGGUUAAUAUGAGCAAUAUGGAUCAGUUAGUAUAGUGUGCAACUCUUGACCUCAGGGUUGUAAGUUCAAGAUCCACAUUGGAUGUAGAGAUUACUUAAAAAUAAAAUCUUAAAAAAAAAAAAAGAAGAAGAAGAAAAAGAAGGAAGACACAGCCCCUAGACAUGAACCUUAAUAUGCUUAGGUAAAUGAUACCUCCACCCCUCUGUGAAGAGCUAGAAUGUUUUUGGUUCUAAGACACAGACAUCUUCUCUAAAUGCAUCGAACAGUGAGGAUACUCAUGUGUUCGUGUAACUGGAAGUUCAGAGUGGGGCAAGCUUCAGAAUCAUUUUAACCCAGGAGCUCCUGCUCCAUUUUUUCACCACCUCCUUGUAUGUGCUUGCCCCCUUUGUUGACUUCAUCUUUAGGUCAUUCUUGUCCGAUGGCAAAAGGACUGCAAUGGUUCCUGUACUUCCUGGAACAAGGAGAGAGAGAGAGAGAGAGCACCCCAGUCAUAGGAUCUCAAGCAGGAAUCCUGAGAUUCACCUUGAUGGGACCUGUAGGUCAGAUACCCUCACCUAAACCACUGCCCUUAGCUUGGAAGUGGAAUGGGCUGAUUGGAGUAAGCCAAGAUCAUCUUGCCUCAAAGUGCGUGGGUGAUGGUGUCAACUAAAAUGAAAAUGUGGGUCCGUUGAGAUAGGGAUAGAGGAGAAAUGGGCAGAAUACCAACAAUAUCCACUAAACCAUCUUUCCCUUUGCCCCCAGCCCCAGCCCCCCAAGGAAGGUAUUAUGGAGCUAAAAAAGCUAGAUGAACAAGGGCAGGCAUACACGUGUGGGGAUCAGAGGAUGGAAAUGGAUGUUUUUACUUCUGCUCACUUCACCCUAAAGUACAAUCGACUUCCAUCCUUUAGGAUCCCCGAACCACAGAUCCCCUCUCUUUUCCAAAUCCUGGCUACUUAAACCUUCACUCCAGCUUAGAACCUUUGGAUCAACCACCGCCACUAGAAAGGAAAAUGUCAAUAGAAAAACAUAUCUUUUCUUGCAUCAUUUAAAAGUGGUCACGCGUCUUUCACCUUCCAUUCCCAUUCCACUUCCUUGUUGAAGGGAAACAUAAGGGCCCCAGAAAUAUGACUUAUUCUUUGUCUCCUGAAAAAAUAGCUUUGGCAUCCAUUGGCUUCCAGCAUGCUUUGGGACAAAACUAUAUUGGCUUUUAGUUCACUUUUGAUGGUCUGUCUUUAGUCAAUCAUGCACUAAGAUUACAAGGUUAACCAUGAGAGACUGUCUAAAGAAAUGUACAAAGAAAGGGGGGUCAACACUGCUUUCCCAACUACCCUCACAUUAAUAAAAGCACAUUACCCCAACUCUCUACAGAGUAUCCUCUUUUUGACUAAUGGCGGUUACAGUGUUUAUUCAUGAGCCAUCGAGCUGUAAAAUGUAAUAAAUAGGCUUGUGAUGGAAAAAGAAGCUGGAAUGGGAUUCAUGGCAAUCAGUGAAAACACAAAAUAAAAUAAAGGGUCAAUCACUCAGGCUUCUCAGUAAAAUUGUCCCACAUAAAGAUUGAUUUCAGUCUCACUCCCACUGUAUUCUAAAAAUCCCACUUUCUAAAAUGGUGGUUUCCCACCACACAACUGGCUCAGAGCCCAGAGCUCAAUCUCUAGAGCUUUCCACAGAGUUCCAAGUAUUGCAGCCUUUGCUUGACUGGACACCUGGAAAUAGAAUUGUCCUACCAAGGGUUAAAUUUUAAAUAGUUAAGCUCUUCUUUUGCAAUAAUAAUACUUUACAUGUUUGUAAUGGCUCACAGUCGUUUUGAAUGCUGACUUAAUAAAGAGAUGUGUAUGUCCGAUAUUUAGGAACUGAAGGAUACCUUUAAGAACUGAGCAAAGUUUCCAGUCUGACACCUGAUCUACCAGUCUUGGAGGUAUUCGGAAUCAGCAGAUGCAGAAAAAAACAAGGGCCAGAAUAGAAUUUUUGUUUAUGAUAGUGGCCAAUUGUUUUUGGAAAUUUUUGUUAUACAUUAUUUUUGAAAAUGAAGUUUUUGUUUCAGAGUGAAGCAAAUCUGUUCCUCAGAAACAAAUGCUAAUAUUUUUUCAUUUUUAUUUAUUUUUUAAAUGUUUAUUUAUUUAUUUAGAGAGAGAGAGAGCAUGUGUGUGCGUGCAGGUGUGCAAGCAAGAAAGGGACAGAGAGAGAGAGAGAGAGAGAGAGAGAGAGAGAGAAUCUCAAGGAGGCUCCAUCCACACUGUCCACAAAGAGCCCGACUCAGGGCUUAAACCUGCAAAUCGUGAGAUCAUGACCUGAGCUGAAAUCAAGGUAGGACACUUAACAGACUGAGCCACCCAGGCACCCCUAAUUUUUUUUAUUUUAAAUUUUUAUUUAUUUAUUGAAUGUUAAUUGUUUUUUAAAGUACUCUCUCCUUUUGACUAGUUUCCAGCCCAGAUAUUUUUUUCCUUUUCACUAGCAUGAUUUUAUCUUUUGUAAAAUAAUGUGGGGGCAUGAAUAAAGUGACCACAACCAACAUAAUAAUAUUAGUUGUUUUGUGUUAUUAAUCACUCUGGUUGGGGUACUAUUGCUCUUUGCUGUAUCCCAAAACCUUUUUUUUUUUUUUAAGGGCUAAUGCUCUCUCUUCACUUUACACUGAGGUUUCCAGGCGUGUUUUCCAAAUUACCCACUCCCCUGUGAUUUACCCUACCCUUCACAGGGGCCCAGAAUUAAGUCUGCAGGAAAAGGCUAGCUCAUUCUCAUGACACGGAAGGCCGUUCAAAAGGAAAGGAGUAGUUUCGAAACCCUUGUUUCUCAACUGUCAGCAUUGAAAAUCUAUGGAGCAAGUGGACUUCAACGGAUAUAAUCUUUUCGGAAAGUAACUUGAUAAUCAGCUUUACUAGUUGGAGAACUUAUUGUGUAACAUUACAGUGGUGGCAAAUUGUACAGAAUUUAUAUGACCCACAACAAGGAAAUUAUUAAAUAUAGCAUAUCCACACAAUGGAUCAUUCUAUUGCCAUUAAAAAACAUGUUUUUGAAGAAUAUUUAAUAAAUGGAAAAAUGCUCAUCUUUAUGGUGUAAUCAUCUUUAUGGCUGGCAAGAUAAGGAAGGGCCUUUAUUUCCUCUGUGUGUGUGUGUGUGUGUGUGUGUGUGUGUGAGUUUUUCUAUUUUACAAGUUUCUAUAAUGAGCAUGUAUUAUUUUUUUGAAAUAAGAAAAAAAAAAAAAAUCCCAGGAAUUCAGGAAGGCCCAGGCUGGGCCCUCACCCUGGAUGUGAAUGAAGUCUGGCUGUCAGUGGGUCAGUAGAUCAGUCAGCAAAUAUUUAUCCAGUGCUUACUUUGUGCCAGGGACAAGGACAAACACCGGGGACACAAAUGACUUAAAAAUAAAACAAAACAACACUUACCAGGAGGGGUACCUGCUCUGAGGCACUGAGUUCACAGUGAGUCUUGAUUGUGUGAGCAAAUGCAGAUGCUUGCUGUCCCAUCGGUAAAUGCUAAUUACUGGUGCCCUAAAGAAAAGAAACUAGUUUAACAGACAUAUUAGUAACUUUUUAAAAUCCAAGAUACCGAUCAUCAGAAAGUCCACCUAAUCUAAAAUUUCUUUCUCCUACAUGCUAUUUUUAGGAAAGAAGAUAAAUAACAAGGAAAUAAGAUAACGUAGAUAUAAAUUUUUUAAUUAGCUUAUUUCCUACCUCAUGUUUUAAUUGCACCAUGCAGUGAGAGUUGCUGUUCAUACUAAUAUAUGAUACUGUCCGAUUUUAAAGAAUACUCUCCCUUCGGGGCACCUGGCUGGCUCUUGAUCUCAGGGUUGUACGUUCGAGUCCCACAUUGAAUAUAGAGAUUACUUAAAAAAUAAAAAAAAAAUUAAAAAAAAAAAGAAUACCUUCCCUUCAUCUUUGUGCUUGGAUUCUUUGAAGAACGGUGUUUAAAGGGUAAUGUUCAGUUAACCAGAACCUCUUAACCAUUCUGGUUAAAUGGAAGAUUCCAUAUUUAGAAUUUAAUGAGGAAUCAUGAGGAAUUCAGCUUGAGAUGAAAACAGUCGAUGAAAUUUACAUCUGUAAGAAGCUUAUGUUUAAAUAUUAUUAUUAUUAUUAUUUGCAAAUAAUAGAGUAGAUUAUAAUGAUGAACAGUGCAAAAAAAGCCAAGAGUGAUAGUCUGAUUGAUAAUAAUUUUGUUCAAAACUACAUCUUCUCUUGAAGACAUAUCAUGUUAUCCAUAUACAAAUAGAAGUAAUAUACUUUUUAGACCAUCCCUGAUAGGAAGUAAAAAACCUCUAGGAACUGGAAACUAGUUCCAAUUGUGCCGCUAUCUGAUCCAGGCAAUGUAUCUACCUCCUUGGGGUUCAUUUUUCUCAUCUGUAGAAUUGAAGUGGCAAUUGCUACUUCUUUAUUAUUUUACAGUAAUGAUUUAAGAGUAACUAAUAUAUGAAAGGGCACCUGGGUGGCUCAGUUGGUUAAGCGUCCUACUUUUGCUUUUGGCUCAGGUCAUGAUCUCAUGGCUCUUGGGAUCGAGCCCCUCGUCAGGCUCUGUGCUGAUAGCAUGGAGCCUGCUUGGGAUUCUCUCUCUCUCUGUGUCUGUCUGUCUGUCUGUCUCUCUCUCUCUCAUUCUCUCUCUCUCUCUCAAAAUACAUAAAUAAACAAAUAAAGGGUAAUGUAUGAAAAAGUGGGUGUGGUUCCUUGGCAGAAUGAGCUAUAACUAGCCGAGGAAGAUUCAGAAAAUCAGGAGCCAGUGCAGAUACAUGAGGGUGCUCUGUCAUCUCCAAGCCUUUGGCAGCCCCCUUGUGUCUUGAUAACAGGAACCACACAGGCUGAGCACUAGAUAAAUAUUCUCUUCUUUUGCUCUAAUGGAAGGAUGACCUAGGGCUAUAUGGGUUACAGAAAUCUAUGAAACCUGUCCAAGGAAAUUACAACUAAUAACAAUAGAAUGAAUGACAAAAAUAGUAAAAUCAUCACUUGGAAACAGUAAUAAUUGGUUCAGAGAAGUAUCAUCAACAAAAGCUAAAAUUUGUCAGUGAAAGUAUAAUGAGAAACAAAUCCCCACAAUACUAAGAGAAAAAUAGUAACUUUACAGUAACAGAAUCUGACACCACCUUCACCAGGUGAUUAAAGUUAACAUUACUUGUAAUGGGACAGAUGUACAUCAUGUGCUUCCCACAGAGAUGUUCUGAGAAGAACCCAACAUCGAUAUGGUGCUAUGAAAAGUCCAUGAGGAGAUGAGAUACAGGACAACUCAGCUGAGGGUCAUUCUAUAAAAUGAUUGGCCAGUACUUUUCAAAAGUAUCAAGGUGUGAAAGGCAAAGAAAUAUUGAGGAAGUUUUCUAGAUUAAUAAAGACUAGGGAGACACAAGGAUUAAUGCAGCCUGUGAUCCCUCAUUGGAUGUGGAACCAGAAAAAGGACACAGUGGAACAAUUGGUGCGAUCUGAAUCAGGUCUCUAGAUUUGAUAAGAGUAUUGUAUCCAUGGUACUUUUUCAGUUCUGAUCAUUGUACUGUAGUUAGGUAAAAUGUUAUCUUUGAGGGAAUCUGGAUGAAGGGUAUAUAGAAAUUCUUGGUACUAACUUUCUAUUUUUUAAUUUGGGGGGAUACAUUUAGAAAAAACACUGUCCAGGAUAGGCAACUGGAUAGAAAUUUCUUAAAAUUAUUUUUGUGAAGUGAUACUCAGGAAAUAAACAGAAAUCUGACUUACUUAAUGUAACAUGUCAGGGUAUCUCAAAAGACCCCUUCUUAAAAGGAAUUAAAGAUGGAGAAGAUCAUUUGAGAAGUGGUUUUUAUUUCCCUUUGCCAAAGAAUCAUAGAAUCUCAUUGCUGGGAGGAACCGCAAAGGGAAUAUUGAUAAAGAAGAAACCAGCCACAACCUUAACAUCCAACAACAGGGAAUCAUUUAUUAUGCUUCACACACUCCAUGGACUGAAGCAACAAUCUAAAGUUAUCUUUGUGAGAAAUCAUGUAGCAAAAUAGAAACAUGCUUAUACCAUAAUUGUAUUCCUUUAAAAAUCAGGAUGUGGGGUACCUAGGUAGCUCAGUCAGUUAAGCAUCCGACUCUUGAUUUCAGCUCAGGUCAUGAUAUCAGGGAAAAAUAAAAAUAAAAAUCAGGAUGCAAAAUAUAUGUACACUCUCUAUAGCCAACUACCUAAAAUAUGCAUACAUGAAGAAAGACAAAGGAAAUGCAUGGUGAAUUCAGUUAAGAUGCUAGAAUUGUGGGGGUGCCUAGCUGGCUUAGUCAGUAGAGCAUGGGACUCUCAAUCUUGGGUCAUGAGUUCGAGUUCCACAUUGGAUGUAGAGAUUACUUUUUUUUUUUAAACGUGGAAUUGUGGGGAGAUGUUUUUCCUUUUUCUAUUUUACAAAUUUCCUAUGAAAUUUUAAAUUGCAAAUGUUUUUAUAGAGAAAAAGUAAAAGUUCUCUUCGUUUUGAGCGAAAAUUUAUCCUUCUAUAUAAUAAAUCCUAAAUCUGCUUUCACACAACUGCCUUGCAUACACCGCCUCCUCAGCCAUAGAUACUAGAGACCUCACACACAAUGAUGUGGCUCAGCCCCUGGGCCACUGUGCCCGAGUGCAACCAGCCUUCCUGGGCUCUUACCACUUUGUAUUUGAUGUAAGAUCUUUCAUGUUUGGGAGAUAAGUUUUGGGAAAGCCCAUGUGAGCAGCCUUAACUUCCUAGCAUUUGCCCAAAACUCAUUAGAAAUUGUCUCUGUUCACCUUUUUCAUUUUCAUUCCUCCCCUGGGGCUGAAGCUUCACUCCUUUGCUGGUUGUCAUCCUUACAUACUGUCUGGUUCUCACCAGUCCCACCCCCACUCCCAACUCUUGGGGGCUGAACUCUAUUUCCAGGGGAUGAGUUUGCCCAGGCUGCUGUAACAAAGCACAACAGACCAAGUGGCUUAAAUAACAGAAAUGUAUUAUCUCAUAGUUGUGGAGGCCAGAAGUCCAAAAUUAAGAUGUCAGCAAGAUUGGUUCCUCCUGAGGGCUGACAGGGAAGUCUCUGUUCCAGGCCUUUCCCCUUGGAUCUUUUUUUCAUGUCUCUUCACAUUGUCUCUUCUUUAUGUGUCUCUAUGUCCAAGCUUCCCUCUUCUUAAAAGGACUAGUCACUGGAUUAGGGCCCACCCUUAUCUUAACUUGAUUAUAUCUGCAAAGACGUUAUUUCCAAAUAAGGUCACAUUCUGAGGUACUGGGGUUAGGACUUCCACACUGGAAUUUGUGGCAGGGGAGACACGAUUCAACCUAUAACACUCACAUCCCGAGCUACUAAUAGACUAUGGCUUCACAUGCGAUUAGAUCACCUGAGAGCAUCAACACGCCUCUGGACUGACACUUUCUAGAGACUUCCACUGUUGAAUUUUUUAUCAGAUCCCUUUGAACAGACUCAUGAUCCUUUGGCUACAGGGGGUUAUUAACCUGGCUAGAGGGCUAUCCCCAUGGGUGAGUCGAGUGUAUCUGCCCAUCAUAAAGAAUCUAUUUGCCUUAUCAUACAAGUUUCAGUAUUACAUUUGUCAAUGGAAAAAAAAGGAAGUACUGUUUGAUUCUCUAUAGUCCUAUUGUGCAUAUUUAAAUAGUUAUGGAUAGUACUAUUGUACAUUUUUAAAUAAUUAUAAAAACAUUUUAAUUUUUUUGUCACCCAUUUAUACGACAAUUACUUUUUCUUGAUAGAGAUUAUUGAGCAUUUUAAGAGGUCACUUAAAAAAAAGGUUUUGUCAGGAACCACAUGUGGCUGUUUCAAGCAUAAAAAUGGAUAUGAAAAUCUUAUGUUCCUGAGAUCAGGGUCAGAUUUUUCAUUAAAAAUUGUGGAAGAAUUUUGUUGAGAUAUUUUAUACAAAUGUGCAAUUCAGGGGUGCCUGCAUGGCUCAGUUGGUUAACCAUCCAACUCUUGAUUUUGGCUUAGGUCGUGAUCUCACAGUUCAUGGGAUUGAGUCCCACAUUGGACUCUGCACUAAUAGCAUGAAGCCUGCUUGGGAUUCUUUGUCUCUCCUGCUCUCUCUGCCCCUGCCCUCUCUCUCUCUCUCUCAAAAUAAAUAAACAUUAACAAAAAUAAAUCAAACAUGUAUAAAAUUAAAAAAAAAAAAAAAAGACAAAUGAUGGGGCACCUGGAUGGCUCAGUUGGUAAAGUGACUUUGGCUCAGGUCAUGUUCUCACAGUUUGUGGGUUCGAGCCCCGUGUCUGGCUCCGUGCUGACAGCUCGGGGCCUGGGGCCUGCUUCAGAUUCUGUGUCUCCCUCUCUCUCUGCCCCUCCCCCACUGGCGCUCUGUCUCUCUCACAAAAAUAAAUAAACAUUUAAAAAAAAAAAGACAAAUGUGAAAUUUAAUUUUUCCUCAUUACCUUCUGGCCAAAUGGUAUAUAGUAAUGUUCUGAUUCUCUCCUCCUAAAUAUUCAUCUUUAUGCUCUUCACUGGGCUUCUACUUAGUUCCCCUAUAACACACAUGAAUCGCCUUCCCCACUUCAUAGACAUGCUUCCUUUGAAGAGGGCACAGGUUUGAUUUCCUCACUAUGUGUAAGUCUUAAGUCUCAUCCACAAGGUUUCAGUGAGAACUUUAUGUUUACACCUGAUGUUGUAACAGUUACUUUGCUUGUUACACUAUGCCUUGUGUGUUUGUACACAGACAUCUAAGGCACCAACUAUUGUUUCUGGCCUCCUUCCCAACUGUUUUCUCACGUGAAUCACGAAACACCUCCCGCUCCCUUAUUCUUUCCGUACUAUGCCUAUUACUCUUCAAAGUAACGGGAUUCACAGGUUCACCUGGGUGCUUUCCUCCCUUCCCUUAUUUAUUCUCUUUUCAAGCUCCAUCUGUAAAUUAUUAUUUAUCCAGUAAACACCUGGGCCCAUUAUUAUUUCCCAAUUUUGUGAGAUGCCCUCCAUCCCAAAUCAGAAGUCCAUAAUUUUUAUAACACAACUAUCUAGAAUGAAGAUAAAUCCAAAUAUAGUAUAAAUCCAAAUAUAGUAAAACAAAACCAUCUUCAUGACCUGCCACUCAUGUCUCAGACCUUCUUGCUUUCAAACUCAUAAAUGGCAGUAAGAUACAAAGGAAAUGAUGGACUGGGCUCCCAAGUCCCUCAUUUCCACAGGGGGCAGAGUGAUCACUUUUCAAAAUCCUGGGUAUUAUCUUCAAAAGCAGCCAAUCUCCCUCACUCACUUCAGCCAAUCCCAAUAUCCCGUCUGGAUCUGCCCCAUUUCUAUGCCUACUGCAUUGCCUUAAUUGAAGCUCUCAUUAUAUUCUGUUUGAAACAUCGCAGUGAUCUCUUUUACAGGUUAGUCUCCACGCUGCCAUCAGAAUUAUUGCCGGAUGCUUCUCAGAAACUGUCCGUGGCUCUCAUUACUACACAGUGAAAUUUAUUGCCUUUGACAAUAUGGCCCCAGGCCUCAUCCUACUUUUUGUGCCAAUAAUCUUGUACAAAAGAGAAACUUGCAGUUCUCUGAAUGUAUCAUAUACAUCCAUGCUUUGGGGCCUUUUCCCAUUCUCUAAUUACCUAGCUAUUACGCCAUCUUUCAAAGCUGAUUCAGAGACCUUUCUGUGGUCUGCCUGCUUCUCUGUACUUAGCCAAGGUUAAUCAUCCUUCCUCUAGCUCCUCUUUGAGCUCUCCCACUAUAUCUCUGUUGCCUGGCAGACAAAGAUUGCAUCAAUAUUUUUUUUCCAUCUCCACCAGCACUUGACCCAGAGCCUGGCAUAUAAGAACUUGAUUAUUAAAUUUCCAAGAAUCUGUGAGGUAAUUACUCUUACGUUGGUUGCUUGAAAUUAGCCAUUAUGGAAGUAUUUGCACCAUGGAAAACACUACAAUAAGAACUUUUUUGAGAGAGAGAAAGGGAGAGAGAGAGAGAGCUGCUUCUGAAACAUUUACCAGCACACCACUGAUUAUACAAAUGAUACAUGGGUGCAAUAAAAAUCAACGGUCCCAUUUAAUAGCCGCCAUAUGCAACCCCAAUCUCUUUCCCAGAAUUCAUCACUCUGGUGUGUAUCUUCCAGACCCCCUUUCACAUGUUUUAUGUAUUAUAACAGGUGCUGAGUUUAAGCCCGUGAGUUCAUUGCCCCUUGUCCAUGAAGCUUUCUCUGGCUGUUUCUGACAUCACCUUUGCAACUCCUCUGACUUCCUUCAGCACCAACUGCAUCAUUUCCAACUUCUUUGUGCCUUGUGUUAGUAAGACGUUAAGUUGUUUGGAGAGAGUGAUCAUGCCUGAAUUUUCUAUGGAACAGACCCUCAUUCAGAUGAGUAAGUUCAGGGGAUCGAAUGUACCUCAUGGGGACUGUAGUUAACAAUACUGUGUUCUAUACUUGAAAGUUGCUAAGAGAGUAUCUUAAAUGUUGUCACCACACACACACACAAACGGUAGUUAUUUGAGGUGAUGGCCUUAGCUAACCUUAUUGUGGUAAUCACUUUGCAAUAUAUACAUAUGUCAAAUCAUCAUGUUGUACACCUUAAAUUUAUAUAAUGUUAUAUGUCAGGUACGUCUCAAUAAAGCUAGAAAAAAAUCAAAAUCAAAUGAAAAGAACAGAUCCUAAAAAUGUCAGUUGUGUAGUUCUU
rnacentral:lncRNA from 1 species